AACUUUCAUCACAUCUGACUGAGAAAGAAAAAUCUCCUCUUCAACUUUAAGGAAAUACUGAUGUUUCUAAGCUAUAUGGACAAAAAUACUGGGACACAUCA